GACAGAGGGUGCAAGCGUUGUUCGGAAUUAUUGGGCGUAAAGGGCGCGUAGGUGGCUACGUAAGUCGAGUGUGAAAGCCCUGGGCUCAACCCAGGAAGUGCAUUUGAUAGUGCGUAGCUUGAGUUCCGGAGAGGGUGGUGGAAUUCCCAGUGUAGAGGUGAAAUUCGUAGAUAUUGGGAGGAACACCGGUGGCGAAGGCGACCACCUGGACGGAGACUGACACUGAGGCGCGAAAGCGUGGGGAGCAAACAGG
rnacentral:rRNA from 1 species